UCUCGCGUCAGGAUAUGCCUAGGUGGGAUUAGCUAGUUGGUGAGGUAAGGGCUCACCAAGGCGACGAUCCCUAGCUGGUCUGAGAGGAUGAUCAGCCACACUGGAACUGAGACACGGUCCAGACUCCUACGGGAGGCAGCAGUGGGGAAUAUUGCACAAUGGGCGCAAGCCUGAUGCAGCCAUGCCGCGUGUGUGAAGAAGGCCUUCGGGUUGUAAAGCACUUUCAGUCGUGAGGAAGGUAGUGUGUUUAAUAGAUGCAUUAUUUGACGUUAGCGACAGAAGAAGCACCGGCUAACUCCGUGCCAGCAGCCGCGGUAAUACGGAGGGUGCGAGCGUUAAUCGGAAUUACUGGGCGUAAAGCGCAUGCAGGUGGUUUGUUAAGUCAGAUGUGAAAGCCCGGGGCUCAACCUCGGAAUAGCAUUUGAAACUGGCAGACUAGAGUACUGUAGAGGGGGGUAGAAUUUCAGGUGUAGCGGUGAAAUGCGUAGAGAUCUGAAGGAAUACCGGUGGCGAAGGCGGCCCCCUGGACAGAUACUGACACUCAGAUGCGAAAGCGUGGGGAGCAAACAGGAUUAGAUACCCUGGUAGUCCACGCCGUAAACGAUGUCUACUUGGAGGUUGUGGCCUUGAGCCGUGGCUUUCGGAGCUAACGCGUUAAGUAGACCGCCUGGGGAGUACGGUCGCAAGAUUAAAACUCAAAUGAAUUGACGGGGGCCCGCACAAGCGGUGGAGCAUGUGGUUUAAUUCGAUGCAACGCGAAGAACCUUACCUACUCUUGACAUCCAGAGAACUUUCCAGAGAUGGAUUGGUGCCUUCGGGAACUC
rnacentral:rRNA from 1 species